GUGCUCACUUCGGCAGCACAUAUACUAAAACUGGAACAGUACUGAGAUUAACAUGGCCUCUGGGCAAAGAUGACAUUCAAGUUCUUGAAGCGUACCAUGAAAAC
ensembl:snRNA Gm25622 U6 spliceosomal RNA